rnacentral:tRNA from 1 species
CGCGGGGUGGAGCAGUCCGGUAGCUCGUCAGGCUCAUAACCUAUAGGUCAGAGAUUCAAAUCCUCUCCCCGCGCCCA